rnacentral:tRNA from 1 species
CCGUCGCCGGGCAGGUGGUGACGGUGCGCUACGGCCGGAUCGGCGCGGCGGGGCAGACCCAGACGACGACGUUCGCCUCGGCGGCGAAGGCCCA